rnacentral:tRNA from 1 species
GUGAAAUUAAGAUAUUCAAUCUUUGUGUCUUUUAAACAUAACAAGCUUUAGGCAUUUUACA